rnacentral:lncRNA from 1 species
AGGAAACACCAGCUACCUGUAAUAACACGUGACACGCACCUUUGUCAACACUCAGCACAGCUCUGCAAUAAUGGCCCAGCCUGAUCUUCACGUUGGAGGUGAGGACAUAGGCCCUGGAGGGUUCAAGUGGCAAGGUCACAGAAGUGGUCACAGGGGACCACAGCCCCCACUGCCUGGACUGCCGCAAGCUCUGGAUCUGUAACCCCUGGCUUGCUCCCCACUUGCCUGCCUGACCACAGCUUCGAGGCCUCUGAAAAGCCUGGAAAG